rnacentral:rRNA from 1 species
GAUCCUGGCUCAGGAUGAACGCUAGCUACAGGCUUAACACAUGCAAGUCGAGGGGCAGCAUGGUCUUAGCUUGCUAAGACUGAUGGCGACCGGCGCACGGGUGAGUAACACGUAUCCAACCUGCCGUCUACUCUUGGACAGCCUUCUGAAAGGAAGAUUAAUACAAGAUGGCAUCAUGAGUCCGCAUGUUCACAUGAUUAAAGGUAUUUCGGUUAUCGAUGGGG